rnacentral:rRNA from 1 species
UACGUAGGGACCGAGCGUUGUCGGAAUCAUUGGGCGUAAAGAGCGUGUAGGCGGCCACUUAAGUCCUGCGUGAAAUCUUGCGGCUCAACCGCAAGCGGUCGUGGGAAACUGGGUGGCUAGAGUGCGGGAGAGGAGAGUGGAAUUCCUGGUGUAGCGGUGGAAUGCGCAGAUAUCAGGAAGAACACCCGUGGCGAAGGCGGCUCUCUGGAACGCAACUGACGCUGAGACGCGAAAGCGUGGGGAGCAAACAGG